UAACGAGCCGACACCAUAUGGUGGGCCACUUUGCUAUAUAUGUUAUGUAUAUGUUAAUGUCAACAUCGUAAACAUAAAUGUAACGAAGUUGCAAAUGCUAGGUUGUCGCCGCAACGCGCGACACAGGUAAAAAACUAGUAUACUCUUAAAUAGAAAGGUCGGUGACCAACCAAAUAGACAAAACUACCCCUAAGAAAUGUUGUCUUUUUUGUUGUGCCAUUGUCUUCCACACAUCUGCCAAAGUCUGCAUCUUCACUCAACCUUCCCGAUCGCCAUGACCGAACCUUCAUCUUCCAAUCAUUCUCCGUCAUCGUCGCCAUGAUCAGUAACGGCGCCACCUCUACCACCACCACCGCCGCCGCCGCCGCUUCUUCUUCCUCCAACACCGCCGCCGCUUCUUCCUCCAACACCGCCGCUCAAUCACUCGGUCUCAAAAACUUCUUCAAAACUCCUGAAGGCCGGUACAAGCUUCUGCACGAUAAAACGCAUCCUUCGUCUCUUCUUCCGUACGCACUCGCUAAAUCUAUUACUCAGAGCGAUUCGGUGGAGGCGGUUUCGAGAAAAGGAAUUUUGAUGGAGAUGGUUAUGAUAAAAGACAUGGUGAUGGUGGUAAUUUUAGCAGAAAGCAAAUCUGAUGGCGGCAAUGUGGCCAAGCUUUUUGUUGGGUCUGUUCCGAAGACUGCCACCCAAGACGAUUGUUCUCCCAAAUGAAGACGAAGAAGAAAAUGUCGUAAUGCUUCGCGUAACAUAUUAAGCUGGUGUACAUUGCAUCGGACCUAAGGUAAUCGGCCAUCCUGUGUUUGUGUUCUCCGUUUUGUGCUUCUUCGGGUUCGUGUCAGUGCCUAUUUGGUUGUUUGCAUGUUCCAAAUUUAACUUCCGAAGUUUGGCGUAUUGCAUCCCGCACGUAAACAACGGAAGGAAGCAGCACACGGAUGAGCCAACCUCGGCGGCACGAUUAGAGUUCCGUCUUGAGCCCUUACAGCAGCGACCAGAAUAAUAGUGACGGACAAACCCGAUUGCUGAUCAGAGACAAACUGGUGACUGAUGGAACUCAAAUCCGUACUUUGUUGAAUAAAACUGGUCUGCUAAGAACUUUGACAGCAAUUCAACCUGCAUAAAACUCUUCCAUUGGAUUGUAUUAACAUUCAGAUGUUUCCAACUACUUCCGAGAGUGCACAUGUGGUCGUGGCGGAGUCCGGAGAGAUGGUCUUGGUCGGCUGUAUAUAUAAUUUUCUUUUGAAAAGCAAGCGAGGAAUGUUUGGGGCUGUAGAUGGUUGUGAAAAAUGUAGAUGGAGAAAGAGAUGGAAAGAACGAGUCUGGGGUUUGGGUUUGAUUUUGGGUACAACUGAGGGGGUAAUAUCACAGUUUCUAUAAAUUGAAAUUUAAUCCAUCUUGAAGUCCACCUCCAAAGGUGAAUGGAUGUUGACCACAUAUUUUUAGCAUUGAGCAUUCUUUAA